rnacentral:rRNA from 1 species
UGGGGAAUCUUGCGCAAUGCGCGAAAGCGUGACGCAGCAACGCCGCGUGCGGGAAGACGGCCUUCGGGUUGUAAACCGCUUUCAGUUGGGACGAAGCCUCGCCGGUGAAUAGCCGGUUGGGGUGACGGUACCUUCACAAGAAGCCCCGGCUAACUACGUGCCAGCAGCCGCGGUAAUACGUAGGGGGCAAGCGUUGUCCGGAAUCAUUGGGCGUAAAGCGCGUGUAGGCGGCUCAGUCAGUCCGUUGUGAAAGUCCAGGGCUCAACCCUGGAAUGCCGAUGGAUACUGCUGAGCUCGAGUCCGGAAGAGGCGAGUGGAAUUCCUGGUGUAGCGGUGAAAUGCGCAGAUAUCAGGAGGAACACCAAUGGCGAAGGCAGCUCGCUGGGACGGUACUGACGCUGAGACGCGAAAGCGUGGGGAGCAAACAGG